GUAGGUAACGCCUAUCCAAAGGUUCGCCUGCAUACGCCCCACGCCGACUAUAAACAGCGUGUAGUCGCUCGCUGCGGCGUUCGGCGACGCGGCCAUUCUGGCUGGAAACACCCUAACGAGUCCUUGUUGGGCGGUGACCAGCAGCUCCUGCACCCCCCUGAACGGUGCUUUGGGAGUCCACAGAUCAAGUGCUUGCGGCCACCUCUAGUGGUUCUGAUAUGAUCGAGCCCCGCCAGCGCUGGCGUUGGGAUCCCUGGAACCUGCGGAAGGAUCAUUACCGAGAGACGGGGUCUAAUUGGCCCCAACUCUUCACCCGUGUAUACCAAAACCCAGUUGCUUUGGCGGGCCGUCGGGGCUCUCCGCGGGCGGCCUUUGUGUCCUCCCUGCGCCCGCCAGAGGCCCAACCUCAAAUCUGCUGUUAGUGUAGUCCGAGUCRCAGCGUAAUAACUAAAACUUUCAACAACGGAUCUCUUGGUUCCAGCAUCGAUGAAGAACGCAGCGAAAUGCGAAAAGUAAUGUGAAUUGCAGAAUUCCGUGAAUCAUCGAAUCUUUGAACGCACAUUGCGCCCUUUGGUAUUCCGAGGGGCAUGCCUGUUCGAGCGUCAUUGCACCYCUCAAGCACUGCUUGGUAUUGGGAGUCGUCCCCCGUGACGUCCCCGGAUUUCAGUGGCGGUCCAGCGAGACUUCAAGCGUAGCAAGAUCAUAUAUACAUCCCGCUUUGGAAGUUUCCCGCUGCGUGCCGGCCAAUCAACCCCCAAACUUCCACGAUUGACCUCGGAUCAGGUAGGGAUACCCGCUGAACUUAAGCAUAUCAAUAAGCGGAGGAAAAGAAACCAACAGG
rnacentral:sRNA from 1 species